ensembl:lncRNA
UGUUUGUGCAAAAGCCACAAUAUUUCCGCAAUCCAUGCAAAUAUUAUGUUGGUGAUGAUUUUAAAUUUGACGGCAGUGGAUAUAAACAAACAAACAAAGUAAAUGCCAUUAAAUGUUAUGAAUGAUUUGCUAUUUAAUCCCAUUUAUAUUCUUGUUUUGCCAAUUAGUGGCACAAAUAAGAGAGGAUAAACAAAUUUGUUUUUGUGAGAAAAAGAGUAUCUCUCUUUUCAGGGGUUGACUUAAUGUCCUCACUUGCAGAAAUAAAUGCUCAAAAGAUAAAUGACUGUUCCAACAAAGGGCAGGCGGGUAAUCGAGAAGAACGAGCCACUGUGUCACUUCACACAUUUAGUAAAUCAACUGCAUUCAUGAAAUGCUUUUAUCCAAAACACACAGUGAAAAAUGAAAAAUCUUCAGCGUACAACACAAUAAAGUGCAUUAGAACUCAGUAGACAUUAAUUUAGUCCUUCAAGUGUGGGGGACUGAGACCCAAAGAUUGGAAAAGCGGGCGCGGAUCUAGAGUACGUUGACUGAUUGUCUUUUGGGGUUAUUGGAAGACCGUUUAUUUGUCUUAAUUUGAUCAUGAUGUGAUCUAAGGAAGCGGCCAUGCUAGUGAGGGUGGACACGUUCGUCUGACAUAAUGCAGCUGCCGUUUUAAAGGGCAAGAAUUCUAGCCCGGUUCUGUUCAUCUUCGGUAGAUUUCGGCUGCCGGUUUUGAACUAGCGCUCCGUCUGUCAGUCUGUCAGUCACUCAGUGUUUAACUCUGAUGAAAUUAAUAAGGUAGUAGAUGAAGCAGUGAGGGUAAACACAGUUUGUAACCUACACUUCUAUUCUCCUCAACAUCUAUUAUUCAUCCGCCAGGAUGAUUCUUUCAUGAGGCAAGCUAGUUGCACAUAAUUCAUAACGCAGGCUGAGGAAACUAGGACAGGGUGAGAUACAGGCAGAGAGGAGGGGAGGGGGGGAGGAUGAGAGGGCGGCUGUGUGAGAACGAGGGUGACGAAAAGGAUGAAGACAUCGAGGGCGUCGGCAUGAGGAGGUGAGAGAAAAGAAGAGGGAGAGAUGCAGGACAAGAAUACUAUUGAAGUGAAUGGGGAAACAUGGUGCAGAUGUUCUGUUCAGGUAGACUGCCGGGAGAGAAAAGAGGUGGGAAUUGGGAGAUGGAAGGCAUGAGAGAGAGAGAGAGAGAGAGAGAGAGAGAGAGAGAGAGAGAGAGAGAGAGAGAGAGAGAGAGAUGGAGAGCUGACGGAGACUACAGGAGAAAACGAGGAAGAGAGUUGUGAUACUUUAUUUUACCAAAGCCAGAGGAAGGUACAUUUGGUUUAACGGUGCCGCCUGGUAGGGAGAUUAACAGCAUAUUAGUAUUUUUCCCCAUAUGGAAGCGAUAUAUCUAUAUCUGGAAGAAGAGUCGUGACGUGUAAAAGAAACCGGAUCAUUGGUCGCUAUUGGGAAUCAAACUUUCGAAAGGUGCUCUCCUCAAAGCAAUCGCUGCCUGUUGUCGGCUGGAUAUAGAACGGUUUAGUCGCCCCGUGACUGUCGCUGCCAACACCUGAGCGAAAGAGUCAGCAAGCAGGAGAGAUGCAAAUGAGGGAAGAGGCGGGUGUGAUUCUCUGGUUGGAAAAAGUGAAAUGUGGAGUUAAAAAGGUGGGACCGCUCCUCUUUGGUCUGGUGCUGGGAGCAAAAAGAUCAGAAUUCAAAAAUCAUUCAGCAGCCGUGUGUGUGUUUGACAGAGAGAGAGAGAAGGAACAGACAGGCAGAAAAAAAAGAGAGAAAGAGAUCACAGAUAGAGCGCACACUCGCUGCCCUGCUAUAUAGCUGUGGGCCAUGUGCACAGCAGAAAGUCACAACCCCAAAGCACGGUGCAUGGUCGGAAUCCCAAUGAAUGUUUGACUGGGAAAGCACAUUUGUGAGUCGGCAUGUGUGUUUUUUCGUCUGUGACACACAAACAUCCACACUCUCACACACACACACACACACACACAACAACCUCCUGAGGAAAAGGUGCCAGUGGAGAGCAGGACAAGGUGACCACACGUAGAGUUGGAACCGGGCUAAGCUUCUUGGCUCCUGCUUCAAAAUGUAUCCAUGACCGUAUGCUGGCGCGACAUUCCAAAAGGUCAAGUAAAAAGACAAGACCUCACCAGUGGAGACGUCCUCUAAUGUCUCUUUUUCAAAUAUGACACUACACCUUGACAAGGGCUCACAGCCGGAAAGGAAGCCCAGGCGUUAAAGAGCAACAAACGGGUUCCAAAGACAUACUUUUCAGCAAAAACCCACUGGAGAAGGGACAAAAUAAAUUAAAAGUGUACUGAGAAUUGCAGAUUUAGAUUUUUAAACGUCUCAGCGCUGGAUGUUUUAAACUAGCUUCCAAAUUAUGGAUGUCAGCCGAGAGCCAGAGGCGGUUGUCAUGUAUGGUUAAAAAGGUCACGAUUGAAGAGAGGCCAAGAUUGAAAGUAAAACAUCAACCUUUACUUGAUUUUCCGGGUGUCCUUUAAGAAGGGCUUUUUUUGUCGACGAUUUACUUAAAACUCUCGGAUUUGCACUCAGCUGAAACUUUAGAGGAUCCUCUGGCAGCAAAGCAUCCAUUCGAAAUCAAUAGUGGGCGACACUGCUGCUUCAAAGAUCAAUACCGGCACUUAAUGGAGGGUUCCGGUGAGGUCUUCUUUUAACUUAGCUGGGCCAUCCACUCUUUUGUUGUAUUUAGCAUGUGUGCAGGGGCCGCUUAGCUUUACAGCAGGCUGGAGAUUAAAUGAGAAUGAGAAUGUCGGCCUUAUUCAAUACGUGCACUCGUUUUCAAUCGCAAAACAUGCCAUAAACAUCACAAAAAAUUAAAAAUAACCCGACCACAACCACUAUAAAAACUAGUAAUAUUUGGUUUUUGAUUGUGUUACGGACCUGCCGGCUCCUCCUCCUCGUUUUGUCUAUUUGCAUCUCCCCUACAAGUGAGCGGAGCACAGGUGUGACGGGUUUCCUAUGAUUCCUUCCAGGAACACCUGGGAUGGCUUUAUGUAUCCUGAGGGGUUUAAAAGCUGGGGAGACCUGGUGGAAGGAGGGCUGCCGCUUCUCCUUCUCUCCCGCACCGUUUUGCUGAUUUUGUUUCCUUUUACAUGACUUUUCAUAUACCCUGAUUUCAUACGCUUUCAGUUCUCCUGACUAACACUUAUACUGACUUUAUUUACUUUACGUUGCUCAUUCGUUGUCCUUAAUAAACGGUAUUUUCUUUCAAUCAACUCAUCCGCGUGGUCUUCCCUCUCUGUUGCAUGGCCAGGCACAGGCAGAAUGUAACAAUUGAUGAUGAGGGAUGGGAGUUUAGGUUGUAUUCACACUGUUUAACACAGUACUCAAAUGAUAUUGUUCCAAGGAAACAUGACAUAAAAUGUCUCCAGAGGUCUCCCCUUAUGCAUGGAAAAUGCAACCAUUUACUUCACAGCUACGCCCUUGGUUCUGUUCAGGGUACUGAAUUUAAUAUCCUCGCUUUUUUUGUCCAAAAUAAAUUGAAUCUUCGGACACCAACCUAAUUUUAAUACAUCUGUGAAUAUCUAAAGAUGUGAGGAAACAAAAUGUGGUACGUCAAUGCUUUGUGGCAUUAACAACAGCAAGAAAGUAUGGCCUAUUAUUUUUUGUGCGAAAAUAAAGUUCUGUGGCUCACAGAACUGACACACUUCACGUUGAGAUCAUUUUUUAUUAAAAGCAAGUUAAACUGUUUUGAGAAAACCAGGGAACGUUUAGUCUCUCAUCUUGCAUGAGGACCCACAUCUCACUUAGUAGUAAAGCACACGAGCGCAUGAGGCUGUUAUCAGCUGGAAGUCAUGUGUUUAUAUUGUCAUUUUUUUCCACUCAUAGUUAUUACUGUUUUAUUGAGUAAUGGAAUUUACUUCAUAUUUUUCCUUUUUUAAAUUUAUAAUUCUUUGAAAAGAGUUUUUCCUUCAUCUUCUGACAUUAUGUUUAUUAUAUGGAAACGAAUUAUGGCAACACCGUGUUUCGUGAUGCUCUCAAAUUAUCCUCCUCCAAAACAUUUUUGAGACAUAGAAAAAGUUUAUAAACCUUUUUGUGUGAGGUCCAGAAACUUGAAACCAUUUUGCUUCAAAUAGAGUUGUCGUUCCCGUUCAUUUAAACUCAUGCAGGAGAAAACACAACGCUGCAUCUUGUGGGGCGAUGUGUAGUAUUAGUAUAGUAUAGCUUAGUAUGGUAGUAUGUUUAGUUAGAGCAUUCUUUGUUGAAGCAGCCAUGUAAAGACUAUAAUUCUUAUUUCAUCUUACUAGUGAUCUGUUUUAUAGCGUGAUGGAUAGACAUAAUAUCCCACUUCUUUACCAAAGCAUCAUUUCUAAAGUGCACAACAAAGACAUGCUCGGUGUUCUUUUCAGCAAUCGAUGGACUAUAACACACUCUAACUACAUGUCACACGUCUUUGAAUGAAUCAUCUGGUGCUUCAGAAAACAGAUUUGGCAGACAAAGCCGUCUAAAUGUAGAAACAACGAGUCUCCUUCCAAGACUUCCUCGUAUAAAUGCACAGUUGCUCUGAAUAACCGCUGAAUUAACUCGCGCCUCAAGGCUUCAGCUACUCGGUGAUGGUUUAGUGUUCAUCUGACAGGUUGGAGGUUCCACUCCGUGCAACAUCUGCCCCCCUUUCUCCGUCUCUGUUGCACUGUCGUCGCCUUUCACCCUUUUUUUUUCUUUUUCUCCUGGUAAGAAAUAGGUUGAAAUCCCCUCAGAGGAAACUUCAUGUAGGCUUUCAGAUGAUGACUCAGUCCUCAGAAAAUCUCCUUCUUGCUCUGUGACUCAGUGAAGCAUGUGUCACUUUGGCAACGUGUGUGUGUGUGUGUGUGUGUGUGUGUGUGUGUGUGUGUGUGUGUGUGUGUGUGUGUGCCUCACUCUAGUGGCUGUUUGUUUAUAUCGGGGUCAAUUGACAUCACACUUCCUGUGCAUCAGUAUGUGCGUGUGUGUGUGUGUGUGUGUUUGUCUGCGUGGGUGUGAUCCCUCACCGUUAUUAAAGCCGUCGCCGAUCCCAGUACCUUUUUUUUUGUCUUCCUCUCUCCAUAUUCCUCCACUUUUAAUUUGGUUUAUUCUCUUCUCUGGAAAUAAGUCAAAGAAAUACAAUAUUUAUUUUUGUUUUGUUUGUUUCCCUGCUGCGCAUGUCAAUAAUAACCAUAUUCUCCACUAUCUUUUUGGCCCAACAUCACUCCAUCAGUACCCUGCUUGUUGUUCAACGUAUCCCCGCUUCUUCCCCCUGCAGCAUUUUUUGAUUCUUUUUAUGUCUUAAUUUCUCUCUUUCUUAACACCCAAUCCAUUGCAGUCCUUCGUCUCCCCAUCAUCUUCUUCUUUUCAUCCCUCAUAUUCACUCUCUCAUUUCUCGUUCUGUCUCCUUCUCACCAUUUUCCACGUUUCCUCCCCCUUUCUACCUCUGCCUGACACUGCCGCUCUCCUUCCCUUUAGGAAUGGAGGGAUUAUGGAGAUGAGAAUGUGUAUUGUUCGGGACAGGACCUGUCUGUGAUCCUCAUGGAAAAAAGAGUCUCAAUGCCCCCAAGUGGAGGAGAUACAGCACGUGGCUGUCACACACACAUGCUAACACACAAAUGCAAUACGCUGCUUUAAAUGCAUCCAUCUACACAAAAAGGAACAGACAACACAAUUCAUGCAAAUGUGUAGCAUGUAUAUAUGAUAUACUCACCAAGAACGAAAGCAUGCUCAGUGCUGAUUUGCAUGAUUAUGACACGGAAACAGACAUAAAAGCAUGUAAAUAAACACCUUCAAACGAGCAGAAACACCUAACAAAGCCGUCACCGUGGUGCAACUAACUACUGCAGAUGGAAACCCCCAAGAGGGAAUCAUACCACAGGGAGGGGUUUCUCUGUCUUUUUCUGUCUCUCCCUGCAGUGACUCCUUUUGAAGGUUCAGUUUUCCUCUCCUCGUGUUUGCUGGGGAACUUGAUGCAAGUGGGAGGAGAAAAGGGGAGCAGACAGACUGGGAAAUUCAAUUUAGUAUGAUUUAUUUAACCGUGAUCACUAACGAUAACAAAUGUAUCUAUCCGUGUUUGUAUUACGUCUGUCUGGAUAAUUAAUGGGUUAUACAUACUAUACAUGAAUGCAGGCACUUUUGUAAUUGGUCCGGGUUUAAGCUCAGAGCCAUCAAACUGUCUUUCUUGCAAAAAAUGAUAAAAUAGUCAAAAACAAAAAACAAAUUGAGUACAAUCUGAAUCAAGGUGAAAUUAUGCAAAAGACUGGAGGCAACGCAAAGAUACCCUCUGGAUGUUGGACGGAAGUGGUUGUGGUCGAUAACGAUAGUAAAAGUAAAAGUGCACUAAUCUACUACUUAUUCAGUUAAUUUAUACAGGCUUUUUAAUCCUUAAUUGUGCAAUUUUUGCUCUCAACAAACAUACCAAACUUUUUCCAAUGAAUAACGCAAAUGAUAAAAGACGAAACCUCCCCUUUCACCACAGAUAAAGGGUUUGAAAGAAAGGUUAAACUGAGUUUAAAAAAAGAUGUGUUACUGUUGAAAGUUGAUCCGAGGUGUUAAAAACAGUAACUGAGAGCUGUUAUAAAAAAUGGCUGUACAACUAUCAACUAUCUCACAAGUUUCUACUGUCAAGUCACCAAUGAUUGAAUAUCAGAUCACAAGGUAAAAAUAACUAUUUUUAUCAAACUGCACGUCUCGCGGGAGACGUGUUGAGGUGAAACAUCACUGAAUGUCUAAAUAUUCUAGACAUUGUGUCUGUGUGUGUUUUUAAAUCUUUAAACUAGUCAUUUUGAGACGUUUGUAUCAUAACACGUCAUGCUGCUUAAACUCUCUGCCAACUAGGAUUUAAGAGUUGUUCUAGCUGCAAAAACAGAACGAAAGGUAGAAUAAAGUAAUUUGUCAUGCUUGGAAAAAAGUCCACAGAGGAAACUAUUUUCUACAUUUUCUGGUCAGGGAAAAACAGAUCUUUCAUUUAAACUCAACUGCCUCGAGACACAUUUUCGAUGCGUACACUAUAAAGCAUUUGUCAAUUGAAUACUCAUCGCUUCAAGGCUUCAGAGGGGCUUAACUUGUACCAGUUACAGUAGACAUCGACAAAAUGUGACUGUGUCACCUUUCAAAUAGAUUACUAUCAACGAGCCCAUUCGGAUUCCGGCUUUAACGAUGACUUAUUGCUUUCCAUGACGAAGAGUAUUCAUUAACGGCCCCUUAUUUGGCUCCUUGUAUGAUAGGAACAAUAUAGAAGAGUGUUCUCUGCAUAUGACAACAUUUGUCAUGGAAGCCAACGUCAGAUGGUCCAAGCUGGGAAUUGUUGAUGAAGCAUUUAAUCUUCUCCUUCAAAAUGAGGGAAAUUUAUAUGAAAUGCAUGUUCCAGCGGUUAACAUAUAAGGCUCUACUAGACUUGUUCUGGGAUUUUUUAUUGUCAUUUGUCCAGUGCAUGCUGGGAUACGUUCAACACAAACCCUGAAUUAUAAUGAGGGGUGAAUACACCCAUCCAUUUUCUGAACCACACACAAUGUCAAUCAGCCUGUUUCUGUUUUUUAUUGUUUGGUUAUUUUAUUAAAAACCUAUUGGAAUGUUAAAUUGCAAGGCGAGCUCAUCAGCCCCCUCUUUUGUGCUCACAAUGCAUGCACAGAUCCCUGCAGAUGUCCCAACGAGGGGAUUGCAAUAAGCUGAGAGAGGAAUGUGGACUCGCACAGAUUUGAAACUGUAUUCUUUUAUGCAUCAUUCCAGUCCACUGGGCUUGUCUAAUACUGCUAAUAAUAACAACACUAAGAGAUUUUCUGUGCAAAAUGCAAAGUGUACAUACAAAGUGCACCGCAUCACCCUGACAAGGGUAAGAACAUCUACUUCUGAAAGUAGGUGUAGGUCAAUGUGCUUUAAUUUAUUCGUCCUUCAUUUUUUUUUUUUUAAUCAUAUGUGUUAAUUACUUAUUUUUCCUUGUGUAACUGCUCACAAUUAGGCUGCAGUGCGCCUCAUAUAACAGCUGUCGGUCCCUUUGAGGAACACAACUCAUGUCAUCUGGGUAAAUUAAGGUUUCGACUGAAAUCGGUGUUCAGCAUGUCGGCCACCACAUGCGAGAAACAUAAAGCCAUACUGUCUUUUUAUGUCUCUUUUAUAUUGCUGUCCUAUACGUCUGGAUGCAAGCUGUUCUCCCAGUACCGCUGCAGUGUCGCCAGCUGUGCCGCUGCGCCCCUGGCAGGUCAAUAAUGAGGCCUGAUAAGACGAGAUAGCUCCGUUACAGUCGGCUUUUAAACAAAAACAUGGUUUGCAUCCAAAGCAGCUGCGUUUUGUAUCAAAUAUGGGAAAUGUAAUGUUUGAACACAUAUGGCAAAAAGACAACAUCUGAAACGGGGAGAAUACUGCCGCGCCGACCUUGAGCAAUCCUUGGCACAGCCAUUAACCCAGUAACCAGACUCCAGGACCGAACGCUUCAGUGUGACGCUUUCAUGACGGCAUCCAGUGAGUUCUACAUGCCAAUUAUCCCUUUCAAAAAGACCGGAUUCCUUCAUGUGACAGCUCGUUUGACCCAAUUUUAAGCAGCUGAGUGCCAAAAGACGUCAAUGUGAACUAAUGUAUGACCUAUCGGAACAUAACUUUCCAGUGUACCGUGUGAGCAUCCAUUGAGCCCAUAUAUAUACGAGCUGUUAUUGGAGAGCGUUGUCGGUGUCUACCAGCUGUAAAAAGCUCUCUCCUGGCAUGCAGCAUACAUUCACAAUCCAUCUGUGUCCGUGGGCAUCAGGCAGCGACACCAGCGCUCUACAUACGUCGUCCUCUAUUGUACCGCUGCCUCCUCCUCUGCCGCGGAGAUAAGAGAGAAUGCCUUCUUUCACGCUGCUGGAAAAGUCGGAAAACGAUGCACUCGCUUGCACGCACAUGUAUUAUCGUUCCUUAUUUUUCUUGCACACAUUGCGUGAGCAAAUCAAAUGCAGGUUAACCUGAACCUCGGGGUGCUGAGGCAGACGCCCUUGAACUUUAUAUGUCUGUCAAUGUACGAUAGAUUGAAAUAAUAGAACUGCAAGGUGAAAAAUCUCAGUUAUGAUAUACGUGAUAGAAGAAAGUACAUUUUUCAAAAUGGAAGAAGUGAAUCUGCAGAAAAAGGUAGCCGGUGACCGGGCCAUAGUGGUCUUAAUUACUGGCACAGAUUUCCUUUACAAUGGCGUGGUGAAUCAAUUUUGCAAGGUACACAAAAUAUGGGUCCCGUGUGGAGAAAGCAGACAGUCCUGGAUAGAAGAACUGAGCAAAAUCCCAGACUGUGGCAAAUUGUAGUCUGUUAUUCUCAGGAGGCUCCAUGCGUGACGGGAGACCCACAUCCAAUGAGCUUUCACCUUUUGAAAGAAAUUGUAUGGCUUUCUUCAUUUCAUCUUUUUCAGCAAGAUUUAGUGGGAAGUCUUACGCAAUUUUAUUUUGAGUCUUUAUGGGAGUUUUUUUCUAAAUCCGAUAAAGUAGAAUUAUGAGAACCGCGUUUUUUUUCUGAAAGAAAAUCCCGCCAAAAGUUUAGGGUGUACUUUUCACAAUCCAAAAUCUGUUUUAUAGUUUGCAUUCAUCUUUUUUCUGGAGCCGUUCUGCAUGCUUUCCCUUGGUUCAGACCUUUAGCAAAUUCUAGACGUUCUGUCAUCGCCCGCGUUCUAUUCCCAGUUCCUCAGCCUUCUUCAAAAUAGAUUUAAUCAAGUCUAGUCUUUAAAAGCUCAAUGUUUAAUAUGCAAAUAAUAAUACACAGACAUAUUUUCAAAGUGCAUGUACCCGUACUGACAUAAAAACAGGGGUUACUGCACUUUUGACAAUAAAUUGUUUUUGCCUUCGGAUAAGAUCAGGGGGUUUUUACGUCAAAAUGAGUCAAUUUUCGAUAACAUUCUACUACUUAUUUUCUUCAUGGCAGCUGGAUGCACACAAGUGGCUGCAGAAGCACCUCAUUAUUUUCAAAAUCCGGUCUAUUGUUUGGCAAAAUACAAAUUAAUUCAGCAACUGCAAAAAUCGUAUGUUCUGUUAGAUUGAUAUUAUUUCCUGUUGUGGUAAAAUAACAUUUUUGCAAAUAGUCUGCUAAUAAAAUGGUCUGCUUUUAAAAAAGGCCUUUUUAGAUUUUAGAUAUUUGUUAUUUAUUUUUUAUCGUAAAGUAGAUCUGCAUCUAACACAACAACAACAAUAGACGUUUUCAAUGAAGUUGGUCUGCUAGGCAGUAGCUCCAUAUGUACUUACUGUCAGUGUAUGGCAUUCACUGCAGCAGGAAUUAGGAUGUAAUUAGUGCCGGGUAAUAAAUAUAAAAGGAGUCAGUGAUUUGCAAAAAUAGAAUGUGGCAUGUGUACGGCUUGGCUGUGUGACAAUUUGCUCAAUCAGCGAGAGCAGCUGAUUAUCUUCCGCAACAAUUAGAUUCACACACAAAAAUAUAAUGUUAAUAUUAAAAAGCUUGCAAACAUUGGAAGGAAUGAAUGGAAUAUCCUUAAGUGUGACUGAAAGGCUAUUGUUUAUUCCCUAGUGAACUUCUACCCAUAAUCUGCUUUCUGCCUCCAGUCAAACACGCACACACACACACACACACACACCAUCUAGUCUGCUAUUGCUCCAUAGGGACCCGUUCGUUUUCACAUGCAACAUUCAAAUGAAGCAGCGUGUACAUCUGCUGGCAGGCGGCUGCUCACGUGUAUAUAAUCAGUGGCAAGUGGAAUGAGGACAUAAUUACAGAUACAUGUUUAUAUGUUAAAAGUAUAUAUGUUAAUCCUGUACCUCUUUAAGGUAUGUGAACAAAUACAGCGUUAAUUUACUGGAUUUACUGAUUGCAAACCAGCGUAGUGACUUCUGAGUAGAAGUAGUUACUGUCAGUUAGUGGCAAAAGGAAAAAUGCACAUGGUGCUUUAAAUACCGAAACAUAAUAUCGACAAUUUGGAGCAAAUUGGAUUUUUUUUGAUCGAUGAUUUCGGUACUGUACCGCCCUUGAAUUUAGUAUCUACAGACAUCGCUCUUGUUACAUCUAUUUUCUGUGUGCUCCCCCACUGGUGUUUAUUUUUCAAAACUUUCCCUUUGUACAAAUACUCCUGCUCUACAUGAGUCACAAAUAAAGUUUCUAAAGUCAAAUUAGUUUUUGGCGUACGUGUCUCUUCAAGCCUUUUGUUUUGCCAGCUCUUUGUACAUCAUCACUUAUACAUUGUUUAGUUUUACUGGGAGGAUUUCUAUCUGUUUGGCAGCAUUUCCACCACAGUCUCCUGGGACCAAUCAUGGUCUCUGUUUUGAACUGCAAUACAAUGUACGAAUCAGCGGUUUACUCCACCUGAAGCUUGGGCAGCAUGUGUAUUUUGGUUGUAUUUUCCAAAUGGUGCAGCUUGUAUUUUGAUUAAAAAGGGUUACUGUUUAGUUUGGGUUAUUUGCCCACAGGCUGAGAGGGACGGAUUCAACGUAGACAGAAAUAGGGGAAAGAAAGAGCGAUGCAAACGUUUUGCAAACACCAUUGAACUGGACAAACAAUCUAUUGGAUUGCCCUGCAGCCGCAGGGGGUGUGUGUGUGUGUGUGUGUGUGUGUGUGUGUGUGUGUGUGUGUGUGUGUGUGUGUGUGUGUGUGUGUGUGUUUGUGCCGGUUGCCCGCCUGAUAUCAAAGUUCUAGGUUAAUAUGAAGAGGAAUUACUUUAGUAAGGUGAGGGUGCGUAGCUAUGUGUGCACUUGAACUUCCAUCUCUUGGCUGUAUCAAUUAUGAUUAAAUUUAGCCAAAGUUGAGACAAAGCUACACAAUCAAUUCCUUGAAAAUGAGAAAAUAGCUGUAGAUAAAUGUAGAUACUGUCUGUUUUGCAUUUAAAUGAAUUAGCACAUCAUCACCCGUGCACACCAAUGAUUGUGAGGGUGUCCUGAUUUUAAGAAGGAAGAGGAGAAGCAGAGGUUUGGCCUGCAUGUGGGAAAGGUCGACAUUGGAGCUCAAUAGACAAGGGAGAGAGGGCGAGCAUGCGUUGUAUGUGUUACCGGAGAAAGAACAGGCUGAGGUGGAGAAAAGCAAAGCGACAGAAGGUUGGAGGGCUGUUGGGGGGUUAGAUUGGAGGAGACAAAAAGGAUGAAACAGAUAAAAAGGGAUGCGAGAGCUGGGCGUGCCUCGGGGAAAUGGAGACGAUCGAUAGAAAAUGAUGCCAAAGUGUUUAAGGGGUGCGUGUGUGUGUGUGUGGGGGGGGGGUUAUAUAACUCCAAAAUGGCAGCCUUGAACGGCAGAGUAGUCUGUAUUUGACUGUUGACUGCUGUCUAAUCAAACCACUGCUGUGAAUUGCCUGAACCUGAAUGACGGCAAGCAGUUUUACGCUGAGGGGUUACAGAACAUUAAAAGAUCACAUCAGUCUGAUCCCACUUUUCUGCAACUAAGUAGACCAAUUGACCAAGUAUUUUUUCCCUUGUUUUUUGGUACAAUUUGAUCAAAGUUUUCUUUUAGUCUUUGUUCAUUUUUAUUGACCAUACAUAAGAUAACAUUGCCAGUGAACACCUCCUCUAUGGACAUAAAUAAUAAAUUCAGUUAUCUUAGUGCAGUGGACUAAAACCUCACAUCUGUAUUUGUUAGUAAAAAAAAUCGCUUCUUUAAAAAAUGGUAUACAUCAUAUAAACGUAAUAAAACAGCGGGAAAUAAUUUUGAUUCCGUCGCUUGUUGAAGGAAUAAAAUCAAAGCACUUCUGUUAUAUAUGCUGUGGCUCAACUUGGAGCUUCAGUCUUAGAGCCUUCGCUUCACGCAUUGCACUUAGAAUAUGUUACACCUCAGCCCCUACACACUCAGUCUCAAGUAAAGUAUAUAUUUAGUAGGUCCAGAGUUUAGAGAUAAAAUGUGUGAAAAGAGAGCUGCAGGAUUUGGAGCACCAUGCAGAAGGGAGCAGCCAAAAUAGAGAGAGAAUAUCAGCAGCACUGCCUGCCAGCCUCACUGAGCUGCUAAGCAGGGCUUAACGAUGCCCAGGGGGUUGUGCGUGUGCAUGUGUGCGUGUAUGUUAGUGUGUAUUUCUGUGUUCGCUUUCCUUCUUUAUAAGCCCGGAACAAGAGCUCCGUGUUUUGGGGUCAGACAGAGGCCAGAGAAUUUGAUUUGCAGAACUUUGUUGGAGGGUUUCUAACUUAAGUAGUCAAGUAGUUAAAAAAAAACUUCUAAGUAGAUGCAGGUUAAUUGUAGGCAGUUGAUGGAAGGAAUACAGACUUGUUUACGCCUUCAUUUCUUAUGGUCAGUAAACUACUGUCAAACUUAACUCUUUCUGCAGAAUCGGGACUAAAUGAAAGGGAGGAAGUUCACCAGAAGAUCUGGACAGAUGAUGAGUUGCACACUAUCUCCCAGAUCACUUCUCUUCUCCUCGGUUGAACCGUUGCGCAUGUGCAUCACUGUGAGCAUGAUGUCGAAACACGUCCGUUCCGUCUCGUUUCACGCCAGGUGUUUUAGUCGUAUUGAAAAGGCGCAGGUCUAACUUACAACACGAACGGCGGCUUUCUCUUUUUUUCCAUUGAAACGCGCCAGAGCGUCGACAUGGCACUGGAGGGAAAUGGACUGCAGCCACCAUUCACUUCUGUAAUUAGACACAAGCUUAUCCUGCCACUAAAUGCCUGCCGCUAAACAAAAAAGGUCCACCAUCGUGUUUGGACCUCCUGAAAUCAGGUGUCUAAAACGCUCUGCUGCACAAUCCAUCCGGGCUCAAAGGGGUAAACCGCUGCUGGGUUCAGAUUUUUACAGUUCACUUAACUUAACUGUUUCAAAUCGUAAAGCAUUAACAUUAACAGCUGGUUCCUUGAAACAAUUUGGCAUAUCAUUCAAAUGUGGAAGUAAAGAAGAAGAAUUAUCAUCACAAAUGCUCCGCAUUGUAUUUAUUUGUUUCAGUUCCCUGCUAUGCUAAUGGUUCCAGAGGAAAGCUCAUCUUAAGGCAUUUGAGCUGCUGCAGCAAAGCAGACGUUGCUCAGGGCGGAGUGAUUCACUACAUGGUGUUGUGGCAUUUUGGAAGAUCCCGGAGUUCCUCGCGGAGGAGGCCAGCUGGUCAAGCCCCAAAGCUGAUUAUUUUGGGAAUGGGGGGUUAAGGGGGUGUGUGUGUGUGUUUGUGUUGAGGGACGUGGGGAUUUCUCAACUGUACCUCAAGGCCCAUUUCUUCCCAGUUAAGAUCAGAAGGUUAUUUUAGAUUUCAGUUCACUUUCAGACUUUUUCACAUUUACCAUUUCAUAGAAGAAUCAAUUACUAAUGGAAUACCAAACAAUUAAGACUUUAAGACUUUAAGGCACUUUAAGAGCUGACAUUUCAAAAUGCAUUUUUUUCACACCACCAACAAUGGAUGCCUGUAAACACUAAUGUUAUAAAACAGUAGGGUGUAUAAAUAUGAAAAUGCUAUUUUUGGCAAAAAACGGACACGCUGUAUUAUCAUUUCCAUAGCAGAACGUGUGUCUCUGUUUGAUUGUGUGAAAAAUCAUCUUCUCAGUUUUGACUUUACAGCAUCAGAAGAAGCUGUGAGGGAGUUGAUGGAGGGAAUACACUCGUGCCACAAGGUACUACCUGCUACACGUGUCUGUGUGCGUGUGUGCUCCCCUGACCCUGUCUGACCUUGCUUCCCCAUUUCCUCCUCUAGUGUCACGAGUGGACACACACAAAAUCACAACUGACCGUUCAGCCCCAAGGUGCCAUCACGUCUGAUUGCACCAAACCAAAGGUUUGGGGAGAUGCUGCUGCUGUGUCCGGUAGUGAGAAACUAACCCAACAACAACUUUUUACCACCAAAUAAAGGGUUGCAAAUGGUUCACACCCAUACUCAUGUUCAUGUUAGCAUUUUACAUCACAUUGUGUGUGUUUGAGCUUGGGGUGUAAACAUGUUGAUGAUAUCAUGUCUCUAACUUCUGCUACUUUGAUUAAAGGAAUUGUGAACACAGGAGUAAUAAUGUAGACGAGUAAAGCAUAAGAAUUCCCCAAUAUAUUUUUUGUGCAAGAGGUGUCUUUUCAAAAUAGACUUCAGUGAGGACAGAAGAAAUACAGUUUCUGCUUGUUACGUAGUGUAGCUUUUUACAGUUACUCAGUUUUCCAACAAACGAACUUUGUUAGGUUUAGGCAACAACUUGACUUUUUCAGGUCUGGCAAACAAAAGCUAUGGAUUUGGUUCAGGCAACACAAUAACUAGGUUAGUUUUUUUGAUGAACCUAUGGUCAGGUCCAGGCGAAAAAGUACAAGGUAAGGUGAAGGCAACAAAAGUUUGGUAGGGUUGGUACAUAAAAGUACUUGGUUUGGUUCAGGCAACAUAAAUAAUUGGUCAGGUGUAAACAACAGAAGAACUUGAUGAGCUGUUACGUGAGCGAAAUAACAAAAUACAGUAAAAUAAGUGAACAAUGACUUGUUUUCAUUCAUUACAUACAGCCUCCUCCUGGGAUAGAAUGUUGGUGCCAUCAUCCUGCUCUUAUCCAGUUCAAGGCCUUUGUUUUAACAAGUUUAAUGUAUCUCGAGAAGGCUUGUUUUUUCUACCCACGAAAAGUUUCCCAGCAGCAAACAGUAAAUGAAAAACACUUUUCCUAACAACUAAAAAAGGAGAUACAUCACCGAUGGCUGAAUUCUAGGGGGUGGUUUGAGAUUUAAGGGGAGUUGUGGGGGGGGGUUCUUUCAUCCACUUUCUUCUGCAAACAAGUUAUAGAAUAAAGCCGACAACACCUCCACGAGACAACAACAGUUUCUGGCAUUUCAGAACCACCUCCACACCCGCUGUCACUGCUGAUCAGACCCCUACAUGCCAAAAAUACACCACCGCCAUUACCUCCCUGGCUUUGCACCUUCGGGUACGGCUGUGCUUGGCAAGCAACGUUUUAUUAGCUCUACACGUGCGUUUCUAGCUUCGGUGGGUGCCAAAAGAAUCCAAUGCCUGCAUGUACGUUCAUCUGCGUGCGCUGACGAGCGUGGGAGGUGCCAGCAGGCUACGCCACAGGAAUAUCACCAAGAAUCCCUCCGUUAUCAAAGAUCCAAAUUGCACCAUGAAAAAAUCGGCAGGACAGAAAUAGGAAGACGAACAGCAAAAACUGUGACAAAGAUACAAAGGGGAAAGGUUGAGGGAGAAUGAAGGAACAUGAGCACUUUCUUAAACGUGUACAUGUAACACUGAGGGUACGAAAGAGACUCAAUGGUGAGACGUGAGAGAAAAGGAGGUUUGAUGAUUCACAGGGACUUAAACCAAGCUGCCGUUAUGGAAUAAUCGUCAUCUAACGGUUUUAUGAUCCCAUAGAUAUAAACUAAUGAAACAGGAAUCAUGAUGAUAGAACUAAUCUGUGGCAAGAAUGUUUCUCUUCAACACAUAUUUUUACCAGCGAAGCACACAAAGGGAAAAAUUGUCAUUCACAGUUAUGGUGUGAAGAGUUGGCGGGCUGUGUGUGUGUGUGUGUGUGUGUGUGUGUGUGUGUGUGUGUGUGUGUGUGUGUGUGUGUGUGUGUGUGUGUGUGUGUGUGUGUCUGUGUGUGUGUGUGUGUGUGUGUGCGUGUGUUGGGGAUGGGGGUGCACGGUUAUUACAUCAUUCACACUUCAAAGAUGGGGGCACCUACAGUGUUCUGAAGGACUUUAUUAAAAGGGCAUUCAUGGACACGCUGAAGAGAAAAGUGUUAUUGAAUUUAACUUGACUUUUCCCUUUGCCCAUUCAAGCCUUAAUUACGGGGGUAUUCAGUGAAAAAACAUCCUGAAAGAUUGUGUUUAUCGAUUUGCAUGAAAACAAUAUGUUUAUAUAUGUAAGUUACAAUAACUUUCUAUUGUAUUUUUUCAAACUAUUCUAACAAUGUGGUCACAUUCAUGAAAUCACGUAGAGGAAAUGAAGCCUUAAAAACACAUUCAAGAAAAAAUGAGUAUAGACAUGUAAUCUUGACCUGAUCAGCAGGUGUAGCCUAUAUGAAUGUGCUUAAAGCCCACAAAAACACACAAACACAACAUAUGAGGGAUAAAUAUAAUGUUGCUUGGCUGCGGUAUGAUAAGAAAUAUAUUUUUUGAAUUCUUCUUUUAAUGCUGUUUUGACUUUGUUGCUGCCUGAAUGAUUCUUCAGGGACACCAAACAGUGCAAAGCUUUCAAAAAGCAAAUUACAGUUUCAAGCCAAUAACCAUGUACGUAUGUCGACCACUCUCAUCCCUUUCUUUGCAUCUUCCCACCAGUUAUUGCUCCCUACAGGGGCUUUAGUUUUGCUUUCACAUCACAGCAAUAAUGCUGCGGGGAUGGAGAUGACACACAUCAGGAUUUUGAGCAAUCUAUCGAUUGAUACAUAAUGCCAGUAACUGAUUAAACAUUAGGCUCCAAAAUGAACCCAGUAGCGAAUGCUGUUGGUAAACCUGCAAGGCCAGGUCAGAUUUAAAAAAUGACCGUACAGAAAAAACGUGUUGCAAACUCUUUCGAGCAGCAGUAGUUUGCCAAAUCUUGUGAGAAAGUCACCGAGGCCUUUCCCUUCAGGCCUCCAUCCAAAGCCACUCCCCCAAAAUUGUAAUUUAUUAAUGUCAAAAACAAAAUGAUGUUCACACAGCUGUUGAGUUAGAAACUUGUGGAAGACUGGUGACCCCGACCGAACGAGUGCAUUAAGGCAGACAGUUAGGAAGGAUAGACACCUCAUCCAAUCAUUCCCGCUUUUUUCAUCUUAUUUAUUUAUUGCAUGGGGAUGUCAUAAAAAGAAUUAUUUAUUUUUAAAUAUUACUAACCACUUUAUCCUAACUACGG